rnacentral:rRNA from 1 species
GAUGAACGCUGGCGGCGUGCCUAAUACAUGCAAGUCGAGCGAACAGAUGAGGAGCUUGCUCCUCUGACGUUAGCGGCGGACGGGUGAGUAACACGUGGAUAACCUACCUAUAAGACUGGGAUAACUACGGGAAACCGGAGCUAAUACCGGAUAAUAUAUUGAACCGCAUGGUUCAAUAGUGAAAGACGGUUUUGCUGUCACUUAUAGAUGGAUCCGCGCCGCAUUAGCUAGUUGGUAAGGUAACGGCUUACCAAGGCAACGAUGCGUAGCCGACCCGAGAGGGUGAUCGGCCACACUGGAACUGAGACACGGUCCAGACUCCUACGGGAGGCAGCAGUAGGGAAUCUUCCGCAAUGGGCGAAAGCCUGACGGAGCAACGCCGCGUGAGUGAUGAAGGUCUUCGGAUCGUAAAACUCUGUUAUUAGGGAAGAACAAAUGUGUAAGUAACUAUGCACGUCUUGACGGUACCUAAUCAGAAAGCCACGGCUAACUACGUG